AACGAACGCUGGCGGCAUGCCUAACACAUGCAAGUCGAACGAGACCUUCGGGUCUAGUGGCGCACGGGUGCGUAACGCGUGGGAACCUGCCCUUAGGUUCGGAAUAACUCCCCGAAAGGGGUGCUAAUACCGGAUAAUGUCUUCGGACCAAAGAUUUAUCGCCUUUGGAUGGGCCCGCGUUGGAUUAGCUAGUUGGUAGGGUAAAAGCCUACCAAGGCGACGAUCCAUAGCUGGUCUGAGAGGAUGAUCAGCCACACUGGGACUGGGACACGGCCCAGACUCCUACGGGAGGCAGCAGUGGGGAAUAUUGGACAAUGGGCGAAAGCCUGAUCCAGCAAUGCCGCGUGAGUGAUGAAGGCCUUAGGGUUGUAAAGCUCUUUUACCCGGGAUGAUAGUGACAGUACCGGGAGAAUAAGCUCCGGCUAACUCCGUG
rnacentral:rRNA from 1 species